GCUGGCGGCGUGGAUAAGACAUGCAAGUCGGACGAGAUUUUUCGUUGUAGCAAUACGAUGGAAAAUUUAGUGGCGAACGGGUGCUUAACACGUGGGCAACCUGCCAGGAAGUGGGGGACAGCUCGCCGAAAGGCGGAUUAAUACCGCAUGUGAUUAGAGAGGACAUCCUUUCGAAAUUAAAGUCGGGGCAACCUGACGCUUCUUGUGGGGCCCGCGGCCUAUCAGCUAGUUGGUGAGGUAACGGCUCACCAAGGCUUUGACGGGUAGCUGGUCUGAGAGGACGACCAGCCACACUGGGACUGAGACACGGCCCAGACACCUACGGGUGGCAGCAGUCGAGAAUUUUUGACAAUGGGGGAAACCCUGAUCGAGCGACGCCGCGUGGAGGAUGAAGGUCUUCGGAUUGUAAACUCCUGUCAUUGGGGAACAAUGCACAGGUAUUAACUGUAUUUGUGUUGAUAGUACCCGAAGAGGAAGAGACGGCUAACUCUGUGCCAGCAGCCGCGGUAAUACAGAGGUCUCAAGCGUUGUUCGGAUUCAUUGGGCGUAAAGGGUGCGUAGGCGGCGCGGUAAGUCGGGUGUGAAAUCUCGGAGCU
rnacentral:rRNA from 1 species